CCUACCCCACCCUGCCACAAGCCCCCCCACCCCAUGAUGCAACACAGCUGCCACCUUUCUAGGGAUGUUUCUUCAGGGGCUCUCCUGUCUGGCUAUCGGAACCAGAACCGGGGUUUGUAGUCUGUUCGCUGCAUGGGGAGGGGGCCCUGAGUGAGUCUGCCACAUGGCCCAGGGUCCCAGUUCCUAAAACCUUGAGCUCUCCUUAGCUCCUGUCUUCCGCUGGACUCCUGCAGUUCAUUCUUGGUGCAAGACGUCUUGUUCUUAAUGUGCAAAGACACCGAUCAAGAAACAUUGUCUUACAAGCUACAUUCCUGCCUUUUACUAGAGGUCUUUGCUCACAACAGGGUGUGUUCGUUUGGUCAUUUGGCAAGUGAUUUUAGGUCUGGCUUAGAGAAUAUUUUAAAACUUUAUAUGAAUGGAAAGUUCUUUUAAGAAUUUUCUUUUUAACUCCUGGCAGAGUAAACAGGCGUUUUUAAAGCUCACCACUGUCAGAGCCGAGCAGAGCCCUGUGCUCAGGGAGGGGCCCCAAGCUCCAGGGUUGCAGUGAAGGACACUCCUGGCCCCUCAGCAGCCCAAUUUUCUGCAGCAGGAAACACGCUUGGAAGGACAUGCCAUGGGCCACUCAGUCUGGCCGGGGGCAGCGCAGUCCUGCGAGAGCUGCCCUCCGCCCAAACAGAGGGGGCACACCGCCCUCGCGCCCUUUGCUCGGGAGCCCCCCAGACAGGGGUCUUGGUCCUCAUGCAGCCAAGGAUACAGAGCUGGGUCAGCGGGUUCGGGACUACUGUUGCUUUCUCACACAGCCCCCAGCUUCUGGCACAAGGAAGGAGGACUGAGGCUCUGACUCAGGCCAGUUGGUGCCGACCCUGUCCUUCCAGAAGCUGGGGGAAAUGAUACAACCUUGGGACCAGAGGGGCUCCCUGCGGUUCCGGCGACGGCUUCACUAGCCCUGUGCUCUACUUGCCAGCCCCACCUACUGUGCGCCUGUGGAUGUGUUUUAAACAUAAACCCCUUGCAGCGCUGUCGAGGCUGUGUCUGUUUGUUCUGGUCUUACUGACUUAUGAUUAUCACAAAUAAAUAUUUUCAUGGUGA
ensembl:lncRNA